UACAGAGGGUGCAAGCGUUAAUCGGAAUUACUGGGCGUAAAGCGUGUGUAGGCGGAUAAUUAAGUCAGAUGUGAAAGCCUUGGGCUCAACCUAAGAACUGCAUUUGAUACUGGUUAUCUUGAGUAUGGUAGAGGAAAGUAGAAUUUCCGGUGUAGCGGUGAAAUGCGUAGAUAUCGGAAGGAAUACCAGUGGCGAAGGCGGCUUUCUGGACCAAUACUGACGCUGAGACACGAAAGCGUGGGGAGCGAACAGG
rnacentral:rRNA from 1 species